AGAACCUCCGGGGGUAAGAGGUUCGACUCGAGCGAAGCGAGAGAACGUUGCGCCAGCAACGGCCCGCAGGGCGAGCCACGCAGUGGCGAGUCAUCCUCUAUCACCGGCAG
rnacentral:sRNA from 1 species